CAUGGGGCAUGGUGUAGGGAAGGAUUUGGAGCCAUGCAAUUAACCCUUAAGGCUUUGGGUGCCCUGCCAGGCACAGUUGACUAUAGAGACCCAGUGAGAGGCCUGAGGACCAGUAGGUUGCUGAGAAACCCUGGCAGGGCUUCAGUGGAACUGGGGCCAUGCAAGGGCCCAUUGGCAACCCCCCUAUUCCAUAUUAAUUGUUACACCAUAGAGGCAUGGCGGGUGAGAUGGGAAAGCACCCUAGAGGCAGAGUGGGGCAUGGUUGCAGGGCCACCAAGGGGCAUCACAGUCACCCAUGGGAUCCCAACCUUGUUAUAGACAGUUACAAUGGAAAUGAGUCUGCAAUGAAAAAUACAAUGAAAAUACUUUUUAAAUGAAUGCCCUACUGCAGUGUUCAAUCUCCUCCCCCAAAGAAUCUCUGAAAUUGAAACUGACUUCAUUGGUUUUGUUUUCUUCUCAAUCAAUCUAUGUAUUUAUACACCCACCAUCCUCCUUGGAGCUGAACGCCAGGACUGAAUCAGAGAGAUCUAGGGCUGGAAGAGACUUAAAGGGAUCACCUACUCCAACAGGCCAUCCACACGAAGGCCAGGUCAGCUAUCCACAGUUGGCAGAUCAUGACAUCCCCACUGAAACCAUUACUGGAUUGGGUCUACCUGUGGCUGGCUAUCUCAGAACAAGUCUUCAAAGGGUCCUUUUCUCUUUCAACUCCCUCCUUAAAAUCAUGACUCUUGCAAGAAAUAAGCUAAAGAAUGUGUGGAAGGCUCA